GAUGAACGCUAGCUACAGGCUUAACUCAUGCAAGUCGAGGGACCGGCGCACGGGAGAGUAACACGUAUCCAACCUGCCCUUUACUCGGGGAUAGCCUUUCGAAAGAAAGAUAAAUACCCGAUGUAAAGGAUGGGGAUGCGUUCCAUUAGGUUGUUGGUGAGGUAACGGCUCACCAAGCCUUCGAUGGUUAGGGGUUCUGAGAGGAAGGUCCCCCAGAUUGGAACUGAGACACGGUCCAAACUCCUACGGGAGGGAGAAGUGAGGAAUAGUGGUAAAUAGGCGUUAGCCUGAACCGGCCAAGUAGCGUGAAGGAGGAAGGCUUAUGGGUCGUAGACUUCUUUUAUAUAAGAAUAGGUAUUAUAUGAAUAAGGAUCGGCUAACUCCGUGCCAGCAGCCGCGGUAAUUC
rnacentral:rRNA from 1 species